CCUACGGGCGGCAGCAGUGGGGAAUAUUGCACAAUGGGCGCAAGCCUGAUGCAGCCAUGCCGCGUGUAUGAAGAAGGCCUUCGGGUUGUAAAGCACUUUCAGUAGGGAGGAAGGUAGUGUAGUUAACACCUGCAUUACUUGACGUUACCUACAGAAGAAGCACCGGCUAACUCCGUGCCAGCAGCCGCGGUAAUACGGAGGGUGCGAGCGUUAAUCGGAAUUACUGGGCGUAAAGCGCAUGCAGGCGGCCUGUUAAGUCAGAUGUGAAAGCCCGGGGCUUAACCUCGGAAUUGCAUUUGAAACUGGCAGGCUAGAGUCUUGUAGAGGGGGGUAGAAUUUCAGGUGUAGCGGUGAAAUGCGUAGAGAUCUG
rnacentral:rRNA from 1 species